rnacentral:rRNA from 1 species
GCCCCAUGGGGCGCAGCAGGCGAGAAAACUUUGCAAUGUGCGAAAGCACGACAAGGUUAAUCCGAGUGGUUUCUGCUAAAGGAACCUUUUGUCGGUCCUAGAAACACCGAUGAAUAAGGGGUGGGCAAGUUCUGGUGUCAGCCGCCGCGGUAAAACCAGCACCUCAAGUGGUCAGGAUGAUUAUUGGGCCUAAAGCAUCCGUAGCCGGCUCUGUAAGUUUUCGGUUAAAUCUGUACGCUCAACGUACAGGCUGCCGGGAAUACUGCAGAGCUAGGGAGUGGGAGAGGUAGACGGUACUCGGUAGGAAGGGGUAAAAUCCUUUGAUCUAUUGAUGACCACCUGUGGCGAAGGCGGUCUACCAGAACACGUCCGACGGUGAGGGAUGAAAGCUGGGGGAGCAAACCGGAUUAGAUACCCGGGUAGUCCCAGCUGUAAA